rnacentral:rRNA from 1 species
UCGAGUUGAUCCUGGCUCAGGAUGAACGCUGGCGGCGUGCUUAACACAUGCAAGUCGAACGAAGCGCUUGAGAUUGAUUCUUCGGAAGAUUUCUCUUGUGACUUAGUGGCGGACGGGUGAGUAACGCGUGGGUAACCUGCCUCACACAGGGGGAUAACAGUUGGAAACGACCGCUAAUACCGCAUAACCCGCUAGGGCCGCAUGGCCCGGACGGAAAAGAUUUAUCGGUGUGAGAUGGACCCGCAUUGGAUUAG